GAGCACGUAGGUGGGUUUGUAAGUCAGAUGUGAAAGCCUUCUGUUCAACGGAAGAAUUGCAUCUGAAACUGCGAGUCUUGAGUGUAGGAGGGGAGAAUGGAACUUCUGGUGGAGCGGUGAAAUGCGUAGAUAUCAGAAGGAACGCCGGCGGCGAAAGCGAUUCUCUGGCCUAUUACUGACACUCAGUGUGCCAAAGCUAGGGGAGCAAACGGGAUUAGAUACCCCGGUAGUCCUAGCCGUAAACGAUGGGCACUAAGUAGAGGGAAUUACCGAUGUUCUCUCUGCCGUAGCUAACGCAUUAAGUGCCCCGCCUGGGGAGUACGGCCGCAAGGCUAAAACUCAAAAGAAUUGACGGGGGCUCGCACAAGCGGUGGAGCAUGUGGCUUAAUUCGAUGCAACGCGAAGAACCUUACCGGGGCUUGACAUGGUAGAAGUAGGAACCCGAAAGGGUAACGAACGGUAUCCAGUCCGUAGCUAUCACAGGUGUUGCAUGGCUGUCGUCAGCUCGUGUCGUGAGACGUUGGGUUAAGUCCCCUAACGAGCGAAACCCUUGUUUUUAGUUACCAGCGGGUUGUGCCGGGUACUCUAGAAAGACUGCCGUCGUCAAGACGGAGGAAGGUGGGGAUGACGUCAAGUCAUCAUGGCCCUUAUGCCCCGGGCUGCACACGUGCUACAAUGGUCGGUACAAACGGAAGCGAAGCCGAGAGGUGAAGCGAAUCC
rnacentral:rRNA from 1 species